UUGAAAGGGAAACGAUUGAAGUCAGUCGUACCAGCGGGAAAUCAACCUUUCGAGUGGGGGUUUUGGAGUUUUGAAGAGUGUCAAAACCUUUGAGAUUUCAAAAUUUUCGCUCUUUUGGUGUACUUUCUCGUGGGUAGGUUAACAUCGAUUUUGAUCAUCAUAAAAAGAUUGGAGGAAUGUAGCUUCGAUCCUGUAUUGAAGUGUUAUAGCCUUUGGUAAAUGUGAUGAUUAGGAUCGAGGAUUGCAACGAAUACCCUUUUGGGCUAUCCGCCUGAUCUCUGAUACGUGGCCUUGGUAUCGAAAGCGUGCUUAUGGUAUUGAGGUAUUACGGUCAAAAGGUUAGAACGGAUUACAUUCGUUAAGGAUGUUGACGUA
rnacentral:rRNA from 1 species